CCUCUUGGGGUUCCGUCUGGCGUCUCUGUUCCUCUGUUUCCUCUCUUUUUUCGCCUUCUUUCGGUGAGGUCCGCCCAUUGCCGAAUGCCGAUCUGCUGCUGCUCGCCGUUGUUGCUCCUUCGCGUAAGCUGCCUUUGCCCUUGCCGGCGGUUGUGCUGUGGCCUGUGGGUCGCUGCUCCUACUGUUCCUCUUCUUCGAUUCGUACGGUUCUGAGCAUCAUGGGUUCGUUCCCCUCUUCAUCUUCUGUUGCACGGGUGUGUUCUUCUGCGAUUUGGUGUUCGUUCGGCGUGGCCGCCUUCCUCUGUCCGUGUCUAUCUCGCCGUUGAUUGCUGGUGCUCUCUUUGACGGUUCGUGAAUUGAGGCGGCCACGGGCCGGCGGAUUGAGGUCGUGGGGGACUCACUGGCGGAGAACCUGGUCGUUGCGCGUUGAUGUGCGUGCUCCGUUCGUCCGACGGCGGCGCGCUGAGGUGCGGCCGGAGGUAAUUAAACUACGAGCAGCACAAGUCCAUGUGCUACAGCCUGCACGUUACAUGUCCUCCCUUUAUUUCAGGUGUGUCUACAUCUGUUUUGGUGCCUUCCUUCCAUUUGAUUUCGGUGGUUUCAAAACUUGUUAAUUGGAUUCUCGUGAUAGUUACCACUCUCGAGAUUUCUCGAAUGCAAUAUGUCUUGGGGAUGGCCUCUCAUAAAAAAAUAGCAUGAAGGAUGACCCCAGUCAUGGGGAGAUAGAUGGUUGAAAUUCCAGGCCCUUUUAUUGUCUCAGCCCACAAGGUUGAUCGAUUAUUAGAGAAACAUGAGCGUCGACACAUCUGGCAAGUAGUGCGAAAAUCACGCAUGGUUCCAGAAAGGUAAUUUGGUUUCAAAAUUAAAUACAUAUUUCAUGUGGAUGAUUCUGUCAAACCUAACAUAUAUACACUACAUUUUCUCUCUUUUUUAUUCAUGUUCUUCGAGAUCUUGAUUGUGGAUCUGAUAUUUAUUGAAAUUUUCAAUAAAUGGUACCACACAAGUUACACGAGUAUUCUGUUCUAUCAAAAUGUCAUAUACCAAUUAAUUAAUCUCACUGUAGUCUUCCUAGACUCUGAACUAACCUGAAAGAAAUACCGCCUAUUGAUAUACAAGAUAACAAGAAAUGUCCAGAACGGCUGCUGUAACAGAUACCUCGAGUGUUUUUCUCUUAACCUGAUACUCAGGUUUUACUCUUGACUGCAUACAAAUCACUAGCAGCUAUGGAUGGACAACCCUAAUUAUGUUAAUGACGCAAUUCAGGAAAUCAAUCCAUACAAAUAUGCAGCAAAAUGUGAACUUUAAUGCAAUUGUGUUGAGUACACUUGCAACCUUAUAAUAGAUGCAUAAAUCCAGCAAAGAUAAGAGGCUUGCUGUCAACUGUUCUGGAGCCAUUCUAGAUUUCUACUCCUGAGAUUUUACCAUAAAUCCAGCAAAGAUAAGAGGCUACGGCCUACGAGUAUACUGUAUAUCCAAAUUUACCCAAGGAGCGCAUAAAGGUUAUACGCAAGUCUACUGGCGCGUAGAGCUGACCGGAGAAAGAAGCGGCGCAGCGCCAGCCUGAAACGCUUUGACCGGACAGCUGCAUGCUGGCCGCUGGGACCCGUGCAUGUGACGCGUCCCACCUUGAUCUAUCCAAAGCGACCAAACAGAAACCACCUCGAUCAGGCAAGGGGCCCAUCCGCCUAUAUUUCAGACGACCAAGCCUCUACAAACAGAACAUCGAUCUCAUAAUGAGAUUGCAAGACACGAGCUGUUGGUCUGGUCCUCAUGGCGUGGCAGCUGCAGCCUGCAGCUGAUGGCGGCAGAGGCAGAGACGACCGCGACCGCGUGCUUUCACAGGAAUGGCUCAAACACUAGGGUCUAUUUCGUGUGGUCGUUGAUGGACUUGUAUGAACUACUCAGUGUCCGGGACACCUAUGGACUCUAUUACGUGGAUUUUGCUGACAAGGAUAUGAAGAGGUAUCCAAGGAGCUCUGCGAUCUGGUACACAGAUUUUCUGAAAGGCACAAGAAACUCGAGGCGUCCGGAGAGAUUUUCCCGGUCACUAGCUGUCGAUGUUAGUGUUUAGGCUACAUUCAAGUGUUAUUACAAAAUUUAAGGCCUCUUUUGGAACGUGGGUUUCGUUUUCUCUGAUUCCUGCGGGAGUCAACUGAUUCUUGUGAAUUUUCUAUACCAAAUUCCUCCGUUCAUAGGUUUCCUUGUCUUAGGCCA